GACGAACGCUGGCGGCGUGCUUAACACAUGCAAGUCGAACGGAAAGGCCCUGCUUGCAGGGUACUCGAGUGGCGAACGGGUGAGUAACACGUGGGUGAUCUGCCCUGCACUUCGGGAUAAGCCUGGGAAACUGGGUCUAAUACCGGAUAGGAGCCAUUUUUAGUGUGAUGGUUGGAAAGUUUUUUCGGUGUAGGAUGAGCUCGCGGCCUAUCAGCUUGUUGGUGGGGUAAUGGCCUACCAAGGCGGCGACGGGUAGCCGGCCUGAGAGGGAGGACGGCCACAUUGGGACUGAGAUACGGCCCAGACUCCUACGGGAGGCAGCAGUGGGGAAUAUUGCACAAUGGGCGCAAGCCUGAUGCAGCGACGCCGCGUGGGGGAUGACGGCCUUCGGGUUGUAAACUCCUUUCGCUAGGGACGAAGCUUUUUGUGACGGUACCUAGAGAAGAAGCACCGGCUAACUACGUG
rnacentral:rRNA from 1 species